AGUGGGCUGUUCUGACGAUAGCAAGGACAGCUCGAACGAAUAUUUUAUUAAAAAUGAAGUUACAGGGUUUUACGUGCCGAAACCACACGAUCUGAUUAUGAGGCACGCCGUAGCGGCAAACUCUGGAAAUUUGGACCAACUGGGGUUCUUUAACGUGCACCUAAAUCUAAGCCCACGGGUGUUUUCGCAUUUCGCCCCCAUUGAAAUCCGGCCGCCACGGCUGGGAUUCAAUCCCGCGACCUCCUGCUUAGCAGACCCACACUGUAGCCACUAAGCAGUCACAGCGGGUGAAUCCGUGUGAAUCCAGAGCCAACCUGGACGGUACGUUAUGGGAAUGCCGAGUUAUAUAUAACAAUAACGAGAACGCGGCCUCUAUAGCAACAGCCUUCGCACGCGCUGGGAACCCGCGCUACUAAGCGCCGCCCUCGAGGAUCAACUACGGGCCGUCCGGCGGGCCGAGGAUGCCGCCAGGACCCACGAACUCCUGGCCGUCACCUAGGCGGGGCCUUUGGCCCUCCCCACAAACUCGCAGGGCACGCAAUAAAGUUAUUCCCUCCUCUUCCUCCUCCUCCUCCUCGGGCGCGUUAUUCCGGCGUCGCAUGCCGGCGAGGAAUUACGACAGCGACCACGUUUCUUGAGCUCAGAACAGGAGACGACGUGAAACGGUGGCCACGGCAACCCGAUUCGAUCGUGCGGCUGAGUGUUUGCGAGGCCACACGUUGGCCGCUGAAGGCACAGGCGUGGGACCGCUGCACCAGUGCACCAGAUGUCGUAGCAUGCCGCGCUUUCUUCUGGUUCGGUUCCCUCCUUUUAGUGCAAUUAGAUCCGAUCCAAUCCGGGAUGAUGCAAGACUAUAGCUAAAGAAGUUUUACUUAUUCAAGGCCUAUCUCUGCUUUCUCACCGCCUUCGCUCUGUAGUAUCAACAACGUACGAGUGCCUGGUGCCAGGCGCCGGAAGGUGCCGAGAUAUUGCACCCGUAUAUCAUUGGAGUGGAGUGGGUGGGGGGAUGCUUGCGAUUGCAAGACCACGUUAAUGCAGCGAACGCGCUGUGCGUAAGUCAGAACACCACAGCAAACCCUAUGAGUGCAACGAACUGUUUCUACACUCGUGCUGCGCUUGCCUCGCACGCCUAUGCAUCCUUCACGAUGGGGAGACGCUAGGUGGCGUCGACCAGUCAAGACGCCUUCGCAUCGAGCUCCGACAAUCUCAUGCGUUUCAUCGGUUUUUCCUGCUACCAGCCUAUCGACAACUAUAUCCUCGGACGGUGCUUCGCUCAAGGAACGGCUGGAUGUCCUGCCCUCCACAAGUGAGCCCAUCUUUUGGAUUUUACGAGGGUUUUUUAUCCGACCACGUCGCUACGCCUAACGCCGGAGCUGAGACGCAACCCUGGAACCUACCCCCGCUCCCGUCGACGCCAGCCUCGCGCCACCGCGCGCGGUUGCGUGCCGGGAGGUGUCGGGUGCCGUAGACGCCAACGUGCAAUCGGAGGCGCCUCGCUCACUUAGAAUGGACGUUACCCCGCCUGCCGCCACAACCGAGCCAGCCAAUGUAAUGGACACUCAGCAAACCGAGAACGCUGCUGAAGACGGCUGGACAACAGUUCAAUACAAGAAGAAGAAUCUUACCGCCCCCCUGCACCCUGCUGCGCUCCACACAGUCGUAAUUCGACCUCAGAGUGAUGUGCACCUCCCUCAGCACAAAUUGCACCACAUCUCACAGGCCGUGCGGCAACAAGCCCCCCUCAGCCCACACGAAGCCCUGGAUCUCUCACUGCAAAUUAAGCCACGAAGCAAUAUAAUCGUUAUCAAGACCCCAAGUUCAAUAGCAGCGGAGAAAAUAGCUUCCAUGUCUCAACUGACACUUGGACCAACCACGCACACUGUCACAGCAUACAUAACCGCGCCAGCCAACUCCUGCAGAGGGGUUAUCCAUGGAGUUGACGCCGGCACAUCUUCGGAGCACCUGAUGCAGAACUUGGACACUUUUGGACCCACCAUACUAGCCUCCCGGAUGAUGGGCCGUACAGAGACUGCUAUUAUUACAUUUGAGGGAAGCAUUGUCCCCAGGAAAGUCCUCUAUCAUCGAGCUAUGUUCCGAUGUUUGCCACACCACCCCAAAGCAGAGUUCUGUUCCUUAUGCCUGAUGUACGAUCAUCGUGCUGACAACUGCCCCACCAAAUCAACUAUCUUCAGGUGUCCUGACUGCACGAGACAACUCAAGCAGGCAGGAGAGGAACACCAAUGCUUUCUCCUCUGCCUGCACUGCGGUAGCGAUCAUAGGACCAACGACCCCAGCUGCCAAAUUAAAAGACAAAAAGACCAAAACAAGACAGAACGAGCCUACUUGCAACGCAUCAAACUGCGCAACGAGCAACAGCCUACACUUGGUUCCAGCGCCCCCAACACCGCAACAUCAACUGAUUACCAUCGCGAAUACCCUGCACUAUUAUCGCACGGACAGCAACAGCAAACAACGCAGACGCAACAGCCCCAGAAGAAGCAACAAGACAUGCUACCUAACACACCGCGGUCACAGCCGACGACUUCUGCAAGCGCUACACCGAACGUGCAACAACCGGCCUCGAGCAAAAGCCCUGCGCGCACCCCACAGUCUGGGAGAACCAUCAUACCCAAGGCGCCUGGUAAGCCAAGCACUCCUAUCAUCCCGCAAUCCCCAUCCUUCAAGACCUUAACAUCACAAGCACAUUCUCCUACUCCAAUUUACGAAGCACCACAAUAUCAGCAACACGUCCUACACGCGCAUUCCCACAAGGCACAUUCAACGCUAGAGUCUCGUCUAAACAAAUCAGAGACCCUGUUAGAACGCUUUGAAAGCAUAGAAAAGAAACUUGACCGCCUCACUGAUAUUGUCGAAAAACUUGCCUCAGCCUACGAACGUCACGACACACGCCUAACCCUGCUGGAACAACGAGUAGACCGCAUGCUUAAGCGCCUUCUUCCAGAUGAAGAUCUUAGCUACGAAAACAUGGACCACAUGUCUCAUUCGCAAAAGAGACAACUUCCUGAUGACCCAAUCGACACCUCCAGCACCCAGUCUAAGACCGCAAAGGUCGCUAAUCCAUGGCAGAAGUAAGGGACGGAAACUUUUGCGUUUGGCAGUGGAACUGCCGCGGUCUCAGUAACAAAAAAGCAAUAAUGAGGCAAUACUUCCUAAAAUUGAAAAACCCACCACAUGUGUUACUUCUGCAAGAAACAUACAAAGAACAGAACAUACCAGGAUACACAGCUACACAUUCAGCGCACAAUGAAUACGACCUACCAUUGAUUUCGACGUACGUAAAACAUAACAUUAAACACUACACGGAAAUAGCACCAGACUGUUUAGCAAAGUAUGUCUUAAUAACCACAAUAUACCCGGACAACUCACAACGACCUGCCAAGCUGUGCAACGUCUACAAUCCACCAAAAUCCAUGUACAACCUUAGUCAGAUCUUCAAGCACGCUAAAAAAGAUGAGAAGACACAUGAUAUUUUCAUUAUGGGAGAUUUCAAUGCGCCCAACACAUCAUGGGGAUACAAGGCGAACACGAAAACGGGCAGGUUGCUGGAAGGCAACAUAAACAAAUUUCAGUACACAGUUGUCAACACUCCGGGGGUAACAACUCGCACAGGGGCGCAAAAUCAAGUUCCUACUACACCGGACCUCGCGUUGCACAAAGGUGAAUAUGCUACGAGCUGGGAGAACACCCAUGAAAACCUAACUAGCGACCACGACAUAAUAAACAUCAUUAUACACAUGACGCCUCGAAAGCGCCGCGCUACAGUCACCUUCACAAAUUGGGACAAAUUCCGGAAACUGAGGCAGAAUAACACUGACACAGGGCUUGACUUGGACACGUGGGCUAAAGGCCUCAUAGAAACUAAGACAGCAGUUACAGACACGCACACGACUUCAGCGCCGGCAGACCAGCCCGACCCGCACCUCACACGCGUCUGGAAAAAACGCAAAAAGCUAUUGAGGGUGCGAUCGCGCAAACAGCUCGCUUUUCCGUUCGUUCGGUCUGGCUGCGACGUCACAAAGUAGGCCGUCCGCAAGAUUUGUGAGAACGGGAGGGAGAGCACAGCCAAUAAACGAGCGAGCCCAGCCCCGGAAGUUUGCGUCACCAGUUUGAGCUUCGAUCGGGGACGAUACAUUAAGUGCAGAAUGUUUGCGAUGCUUUAAUAAUUAAACACGUAAUAUAAGAAAAAGAUUCUUACUGUUGCAACAUAUAAUCUGCCUCGGAAAUCUCAUGCGAGAGCAGAAAACUAAUUUAAGCGGCAUAUAUUUUGGUUUAGUCCGCUAGGUGGUAUCGCACACGUCAAAACAAAUUGGCGGGAGCGCGCAGUUCAAUUGCAAAAUCGCUGUUCGUCAGUUGCCAAAAUGUCGUCGCACAAGAAUGUCAAGCUUGGCCCUCACGUGUCGCCACACCAACGUGAACUGUUGGUGGCGUUUAUGGAGGGCCAUCCCUAUCUUGUGCGGGCGUCGUGUGCACUCACACCGGAGUGCACGGUGGAGCGGAGGCGGCAGCUUUGGAGUGAGCUCGCCGCCCUGCUGAACACUGAGGGCCCGGCCGCCAAGACAGCCGAACAGUGGCAGGUCUUUUGGCGGAAAGAAGUAUUUCUUUCCCGCCGAGAUGCCGCCACAGCUUCCGCAAGUCAAAGGUGAGUGCGAGGAGCGGUUCUGUUGCUCGCGAUAUUUACAAUGCUGUCCGUAAUUGCAGCGGCACGGGUGGUGGCCGUCUGCCCGGCCUUCGUGGCCGUAUCAUCGCCCUAGUGGGCACCUCCACGGUGACCGGAGUGUGCGAGGCUUUUUACCAACCACUCGACGAGCCCGCCAUGGAGGUGACCGUGGAAUCUGUGGGCACCACCGCAGGAACCAGUGGCCUUUCACGUGAAGGUAAGCUUUUGCUCUUCCCUGUUGCCUUCCUGUUUGUGGAAUCUGUUUCGUAUAUAAGGAACGCAAACUAUUUCUACUCUAACCGUUGAGUGAAUGUACCCUCUAUAACCAAUAUAGGAGCACUGCAGCAGCCAGGAGUGGGCCCUCCAGCCACUGCACAGCCUGCAGCUGGCCCUGGCGGAGUGCGAACCAGCAAGUGAAAAGGAAAUAUCCUGCAAUGUCACAGCUUGAAUGCACUGGACGUAAUGUAGUUGUGUGUUUAGUUCAUUAAAAAGUGGUACUUUUUCCAGGCUACCAACCCCGGGUGCAGCGCCGGUCGCGAGGCCCUCGUCGGGCGUCCCACCGGGAUGCCUUGGUCGAACGGCUCGCGGAUGACUACGCCAGGACCGUCGCACAGAACGACGAGACAAACGAAGUGCGUGUGCCCUUGCCUGCUUUAUAUGGUGGAGCGUAAUAGAAUGACAGUAGACAGGUGUAACAUUUUUUUAGCAAUUUGAUGAGCUGCACAGGUCACUAACUCACAUACAUGGCUAACACGUGUUUCAAUAGCUGAACUGAAAAAAAAAAGACUAAGGGAGACGGACGAGAACAUCAUCAUACAUUACGUACAUGGUCAUAAACACGGUCACUUGCAAUCAUUAACACAAUGUAACAGCUUCAAACACAGUAAUCACUGCCAUUAGCAUUUCUGCAACAGGCAAUAACUGGGUGGACUAGACAACAGGGACACUUGCAAUCAAUCACACAAUAACAGCUUCACACAUUCCUAUUUCCACUAAAGCUCUUUCUUUUGAGCAGUUUCAUAGACAUGGCAAGUUGCCUGUAAUUAAAUCACUUGUUUUAGAACACUGCCUCAUAUGACUUACUCGUUUCAAACCUUGGCCGCCCACCUUCAAGUAUUACCUAAUGAAUUUUUCCGCAUAUGCUGUAAUUGCACCACACACAUCGGAUUGCGCAUGCUGAUUGUGAUAGUUCUCCCCCAUCACACAAAAAUAUUCAUGUCUGAAACAUUUUUCCCAAGGCAGCGGCGUAAAUUGAGUGGCAUAUGUAAAACACCUAAAAUGCUCUGGGCCCUUCAUCUUCAUAAUUAUUUGCAAAGGCGGCAGCUAACUCGCAGUUCAAAUUUAGCUUGCACAUCGCCGUAAAGUUUCCUUUAUUUUGACGCACUUAGAAACACUAUAGCUUGCAUAGUUCAUUGAGGACGAUGGAGAACACAAACCUCAAUAAACUAUUGAAACAUAAAAAAGGAGAACACUGUUAAUUAAUGAGUUGCAAUGGUUGUAAUUAAGGCAGUAAGAGGAAAACUUUGCCACACAAUACACUCAGGACUGUGGCUAUUUCCACAAAGUUUGAAGUUGCUAACUUGUUCUGGAAGGCUGGGAAACAUCACAUAUAAUGGCAGUGCGACAGCUUGCAAUGCUUGAAUAACAAUUUAUAUACAGGGUCCAAUACAUGCUUUUGCAACAAAAUGCAACAUAGGGCCUAGCAUUCUUUGCUACAGUGAUACAUGUCAAGGUCGCUUGCUCAUUUGCAAUCCCAAACUUAUUGCUAUGCCAUCUGUUAACUUUCCGGCGGCUCGACAGCAUAAAAGUACAUAUGGUAUUGAUAUUUCUUUGCACAACUACAUGAAAACCAACAACAAAAAACAGAUACAAUGGUGCAGACAGACAACAACAUAGAAAGUGUUUGUCCUUGUCCCCAUAACUAAUGAACAUAUGGUAAUCUGAAUGAGCAUACAUGCAGUUGAGCGCCUUUAUACCUAAAGUGCUUGGGACCACCGAAAUCAUCCGUUUUACAGCUCACUUUGUAAACAUUGUGCACAGCACGCCUCACUAGGAACCGACCGAACAU